CUCCCUUCCACCUGUGGACACAUAGUGAAAACCUCAUGCUCUCUGUGAGCCAGAAAGCAGGUUCCCUGGACACUGAAUCUGUGCCACCUUCUUGGACUUGUCAGGUUGCUGUUUAUAGGCCACCCAGUCUCUGAUAUUUUGUUACAGAGGUCUGAACAGAUGAAGACAGGCCCUAGUUAAGUAACUACAACCAGCCCUUAUUCAUCAUGUACUUCCUACCAGGUGAAAGAUGAGGAAGGUGAUGAAGGCCCGCCCUCUUCAAGGUCUCUCUCCCAUGAAGCCUUGGAUUUGAGUCGCAGGCAAGCCCACCACAGAGUCAGGCACUUGCUUCUGAAGGCAGGUAACCCAGGGCACAGGGCCCAUGGCUGAGGACAGAGCCUGGAUUCUCAUUAGCCACACCCUACCCCAUGGCCCAGGACCACGACCACCACUGAUGUAACUCAUCUUACAAAAGCUCCAUUCCUGAGGCAGUGAAAAUUGACGGGUAAUGAAGAGAAACAUGGAAGCAUCUAGAAAACGAGGUCUCCCCUAGUCCAUCCCCAGCCUUUCGACCAUCCUCCUUCAAUUACAGUACUGGACGGCUAAUGCGUGUCACAGGAGAACCAAUGUGAGAACAACACGUGCUCUUUGGUUGCAGAGCUGGGCUCCCCUGGACUCUCGUGUUCCGUUUAUUUAUAAUCUGAUUUGGAAAAGAAAAGCCAGAGCUUUCCCUGGAGGCGAGGCAGCCAUGGAGCUUCUGGCAUCGCCUCGGCUUGGAGGCUGUGAACCGGGCGGAGAUGCUAGCCGAGCCAGUGUCGGGGCAGCCCUUUCUGGCCUCUUAGAAGUAAAGGCUGGUUGCCACUUGAGCUUCCUCAUGCUCCUUGCCACAAAGAUGCCUGGAGCACUGCACUCUCCCCUAACUGAGCAGUCAGGCAGAAGAGACAGACCCAGGAGAGGCAGACUCCGCCGGCGGGCCAGCGUGCGCACCCGGCGCCGACUCAGCCCAGCCUCCCAGUUCACGUGGUGCGUGAGGGCACAGACUGUGGCCCACCAAGGUCGGCUGGGAGCCUGUCACGGGCAUGA